AACGCACAUUGCGCCCGCCAGUAUUCUGGCGGGCAUGCCUGUUCGAGCGUCAUUUCAACCCUCAGGCCCCCAGUGCCUGGUGUUGGGGAUCGGCCCAGCCUUCCUGUAAGGCCGCCGGCCCCGAAAUCUAGUGGCGGUCUCGCUGUAGUCCUCCUCUGCGUAGUAGCACAACCUCGCAGUUGGAACGCGGCGGUGGCCAUGCCGUUAAACACCCCACUUCUGAAAGUUGACCUCGGAUCAGGUAGGAAUACCCGCUGAACUUAA
rnacentral:misc_RNA from 2 species